GAUGAACGCUGGCGGCGUGCUUAACACAUGCAAGUCGAACGAUGAAGCCCAGCUUGUUGGGUGGAUUAGUGGCGAACGGGUGAGUAACACGUGAGUAACCUGCCCUUGACUCUGGGAUAAGCCUGGGAAACUGGGUCUAAUACUGGAUAUGACUUCUCAUCGCAUGGUGGGGGGUGGAAAGAUUUAUUGGUCUUGGAUGGACUCGCGGCCUAUCAGCUUGUUGGUGGGGUAAUGGCUCACCAAGGCGACGACGGGUAGCCGGCCUGAGAGGGUGACCGGCCACACUGGGACUGAGACACGGCCCAGACUCCUACGGGAGGCAGCAGUGGGGAAUAUUGCACAAUGGGCGCAAGCCUGAUGCAGCAACGCCGCGUGAGGGAUGACGGCCUUCGGGUUGUAAACCUCUUUCAGUAGGGAAGAAGCGUGAGUGACGGUACCUGCAGAAGAAGCGCCGGCUAACUACGUG
rnacentral:rRNA from 1 species